rnacentral:rRNA from 1 species
GUCGAACGGACUCAUAUUGAAACCUAGUGAUUUAUGAGUUAGUGGCGGACGGGUGAGUAACGCGUGGAUAACCUGCCGUAUACCGGGGGAUAACACUUAGAAAUAGGUGCUAAUACCGCAUAAGCGCACGGCUCCGCAUGGGGCAGUGUGAAAAACUCCGGUGGUAUACGAUGGAUCCGCGUCUGAUUAGCUAGUUGGCGGGGUAACGGCCCACCAAGGCAGCGAUCAGUAGCCGGCCUGAGAGGGUGGACGGCCACAUUGGGACUGAGACACGGCCCAAACUCCUACGGGAGGCAGCAGUGGGGAAUAUUGCACAAUGGGGGAAACCCUGAUGCAGCGACGCCGCGUGAGUGAAGAAGUAUCUCGGUACGUAAAGCUCUAUCAGCAGGGAAGAAAAUGACGGUACCUGACUAAGAAGCCCCGGCUAACUACGUGCCAGCAGCCGCGGUAAUACGUAGGGGGCAAGCGUUAUCCGGAUUUACUGGGUGUAAAGGGAGCGUAGACGGCAGCACAAGUCUGGAGUGAAAUCCCGGGGCUUAACCCCGGAACUGCUUUGGAAACUGUGCGGCUGGAGUGCAGGAGGGGUAAGCGGAAUUCCUAGUGUAGCGGUGAAAUGCGUAGAUAUUAGGAGGAACACCGGUGGCGAAGGCGGCUUACUGGACUGUAACUGACGUUGAGGCUCGAAAGCGUGGGGAGCAAACAGGAUUAGAUACCCUGGUAGUCCACGCCGUAAACGAUGAUUACUAGGUGUCGGGGGACCAAGGUUCUCCGGUGCCGGCGCAAACGCAUUAAGUAAUCCACCUGGGGAGUACGUUCGCAAG